AACGAACGCUGGCGGCAUGCCUAACACAUGCAAGUCGAACGGGAUCCUGGCUUCGGCCAGGUGAGAGUGGCGGACGGGUGAGUAACGCGUGGGAACCUGCCCAUUGGUCUGGGAUAACUGCGGGAAACUGCAGCUAAUACCGGAUGUACCCGAGAGGGGAAAGAUUUAUCGCCGAUGGAGGGGCCCGCGUCAGAUUAGGUAGUUGGUGAGGUAACGGCUCACCAAGCCUACGAUCUGUAGCUGGUCUGAGAGGAUGAUCAGCCACACUGGGACUGAGAUACGGCCCAGACUCCUACGGGAGGCAGCAGUGGGGAAUAUUGGACAAUGGGGGCAACCCUGAUCCAGCAAUGCCGCGUGAAUGAAGAAGGCCUUAGGGUUGUAAAGUUCUUUCACCUGUGACGAUGAUGACGGUAACAGGAGAAGAAGCCCCGGCUAACUCCGUGCCAGCAGCCGCGG
rnacentral:rRNA from 1 species